rfam:Calothrix sp. HK-06 NIES-2101_Scaffold_67, whole genome shotgun sequence.
CCAGCUUAGUGUCCAAAGCUGUUCCUAACUUCCCCAUGCAUUGCUGGUAACGGUGAUGUGUGAAGCGGGGAGUAAAGCCCAAGGAAACAUUUAGCCUAAAAAUGUAACUAGG